UGUUGCUUUGGUUAUUUGCCAGUGUUGUAUGGUGGCUUUGAAGUAAACAUCCCCUUUCUGUAAGGGCUUCUCUUGUACAUUGUUUGGGGGGGGGGCUCUGUUUUUCACUACUCUAGUAGAUGGGGCUGCUAGGGCCACCGUGUGUAGUGGUAAACUAGUGACAACUCUGUUUGGUAAAGUGGGGCAGAAAACAACUUUGAGGACUUCUUAUAUUAACUAUUGAUCAUUAUAUCGGGUUAAAGGUCUCUCUUUUGUUUAGGGGUUGCUUAUGCUGGGGCUUUGUCUUUAGCAACACGAGUUCGGUUGGCUAUAGUUUAGGACUAUUGAGCGGUUGGCUAUAGGGGUAUAUUGAGCAACUUCCUCAAUGAUGUCUUGUCACCUUCUUACAGGUUGUUGGUAACCAUGUUUUGUAGGUAAAAGAAAUAUCUUUAUGGAUAAAAGAGUUACUUUUAUGAGCUAUUUUUUGGUGAAAAAAGUAGGUGUUUAGUGAGAGAAAAUGCGUCGGUAUAUUUUGAGUGGGUAAGUUGUUGAAGACAAAACCCUCUAUUUGUCAAUGGAGGUUGAAACAAUGGAUUUUUGUUCGAUCCCCACAGAUAUGGACAAAAUGUUUUGGUUCGAUUUUAGUUCAGCCCAAAAAACUAUGAGAGCCUUUUUUUUCUACAGUGGUUUCUGGCGAUGGUGGAGAAGGACUCACCUACAGAUUUCUAAGGAAGGUCAUGACUGAGACAAACCUGAAAUUAAAGAGAAUAACCAUCAGAGGUGAUGCUAGUAGUGGCUGAUGACAGUAUUCCAAUGAUCAAGUCAGAUGGACGUUUAAGGAUAUGAUGGGUUUUUGAGAAACCCUAAAAUAUGAGUAAACUUGAUUGUCUGUAUGUGUGAAAGACCUUGUCUCCUUUGUGAGACUAACCCAACCUUAUAAAAUAGAAUGCCUCAAAGGGCAUUUUUGUGUUUUUGGAUACAUGGCAUAUCAUUAUUGGUUAUUUUUAAUAGUAAUUUAGCCUUUCUUGUUGAGGUUUUUAGGCUGCCUUGAGUUAGACAGCUCUCCUCUAAGAGAUUGUCCUAGUUGGCAAUGUAUCCUCAACCCUAAUUGGCUUAUUUCAAAUGAGUCAGUUAGGUUGAAAAGCAUUCAAUUUCACUGAAGAUGGUGCAGGUGGGUCUAUGGUUUCCCUUUCUCAUAUUUGAUUCAUGUGACAUACAGGGAGAUAUUUGGAGAUAGCCCAACUGAGGGCUAUGCUAUGAUAAUGUGGUGUGGUCUUAUUGGCGAAGCUGUCACUACCUUUACUGUCUCAGACCAACAUGUGGAAGCUUUGGUGCAGUGUAAAAGAUAAUUUUUGUAGUUCUCGGACAACUUGGAUGGCUAAAGCUCAUUUUUGGGAUUUUUCCAUUUUGCCCUUGCCCUUUCAGUUCCUUCUCUAUUCUUUCCAAGGGCUUACUGGUCAUGUGUAAUGUCUUCACAUGUAUCAUAUCCUAAGUAUGUCUUGUUAAAUUUUUACCACCAACACUACCAUAAGAUAAACUAAGGUAUCAUUUAUUUUUCUGGCUAAAAUCUGAAUAAAUUUGAAUUAGUUUAAAUCCUGAAAGAAGUCGAAUGUCUAAAUUUAAAUGACAUAUUAUGUUUUUGUUUGAAUGAUAAGCGUGAUAUAUUGAUAUAUUUCCCCACUAAUCAUAUAUUAGUUAGUCUCUUUUAUUUAUAUUUUUAGAUAAUUAAUUAUUUUAUUGGACAAGAACAUAAAGUGAAGAUUAUGAAAUAAUCUGUGCUUAAAGAAAUCAAACUGGAGAAAAUUGGAAGAUUAUUUGGAUUAAUUAUCAGUGGGCUUAUGGCUAAAUUGUAAUUUAAAUUUAUUAGCCCAAUUUGUAAGUAAAGCAACUAAAGAGCACGCGGAAGGCAUUAAUUUCCUCGUUGAUUAUGGAUCUGGAGGAGGCAAAGGGCAUCAAAUAAGUCGGCCACCAAGAAUUAUAUAAGCCAAAUUUCAAUAUUCUAACGAGAGAACACAGAAACGAAAAAAGAGAUAAGAAUUAAAGGCGGAUGACUUCUAAUAUUAAAAAAAAAAAAAAAGCCUUUGGCUUUUGGAGGAAGACGAGAAAGCAGAUUGACAAAAACUUCCUUCGAUUCUAUUGUCCUUAAUCUCCAUAUAUCUUUUUAAUCUUUUAUAUUAAGGUUAAAGAUGAAUCACUGUUUAAUGAAAUAAAUUAUUUUUUAUUCAAUUAAUUCUCACUUUAAUGUUUAUGGUUCUAAUUUCACAUGUUUGGUUGAAUAUUAUUAAAUCUUUUCACAUUUCUGUCAUGUAUUAUUGAUUCGUAAGGAUUAAUAUUUUGACUAAAUAUAUGCUUGAUUUUAUAAAGUUUAUAUUUAAUUAUCUUUGAUUUUGUGUCUUUAAUUGAAAUAUUUACACAUAGUGCUUAGAAAAACUUUGACUCUUUAUUAUUCAAUAUGUUUAAAUGGGAUACUUAGGUAUUGUACUAUUAAGUAGAAAAAGAACGUACAUAAGAUUAGUUUUAGUUGGGCUUAAUUUUUGUAUUCAUGAGUAGACAUAAAUUGAUUUUGUCUUGCCACUCGAAAUUUGGAAAUUGAUUGAUAAUUGGAUAAUUGUUAAGUUGAAUUGUGGUGGAUUCUGAAAUUCUGGUAGCCUUAAUCUUUUGAAUUCUUGUGAUAAUUUACUCGUUUUAAUUUUAAUGGCAUCUUUAGUUUAAUUUCCUCGCACACAUUUUUUUUUCUAACUAGGGUAGAGUUUUAAUUAGCAUAGAUUAAAUUUGGGUUUCUAAAAAAUUGACAGUCUCGAUGGAUUUGAACUCAUUAUUCCUAUUCUAUACUACUGUAAACCCAUGCACUUGUGAGUACAUUAAAAUUUACAUAACAUUGAUCCUCAGAAAAAAAUAUUAAGUUAUUUUUUACAACUUAAAAAAAAUGAAAAAUUAGUACUUUUA
rnacentral:lncRNA from 1 species